AAUGAAUUGACGGGACCGCACAAGCGGUGGAUGAUGUGGUUAAUUCGAUGCAACGCGAAAACCUUACCACCUUUGACAUGUACGGAAGCCUUUAGAGAUAGAGGCGUGCUCGAAAGAGAGCCGUAACACAGGUGCUGCAUGGCUGUCGUCAGCUCGUGUCGUGAGAUGUUGGGUUAAGUCCCGCAACGAGCGCAACCCUUGUCAUUAGUUGCUACAUUCAGUUGGGCACUCUAAUGAGACUGCCGGUGACAAGCCGGAGGAAGGUGGGGAUGACGUCAAGUCCUCAUGGCCCUUAUAGGUGGGGCUACACACGUCAUACAAUGGCUGGUACAAAGGGUUGCCAACCCGCGAGGGGGAGCUAAUCCCAUAAAGCCAGUCGUAGUCCGGAUCGUAGUCUGCAACUCGACUACGUGAAGUCGGAAUCGCUAGUAAUCGUGGAUCAGGAUGUCACGGUGAAUACGUUCCCGGGUCUU
rnacentral:rRNA from 1 species